UUGUGGCAGCACCUGUGACUCAAAGGAGUAGGGCACCAGGCCCCAUAUAUCGUGGGUGGAGGGUUCAAACC